GCUUACGUUGAGUGACAGGUAGGAGUCCACCUCCGCCAUGUUGGUGAAACUCUGGGCAUAGCGCGACACGUCUCCCAGAGAGGCUGGAGGGGGAGGGGAAAAUGUCAGAUUAUACAACGGUUGAAUUAUAUCACUUAAUUGCAGUGUGUGGACUAGGCCUACUAGGUUGCAUAGUCCGACUUUAUUGUAACUUUGGGAGAUUUGAUGAGCACAAUCAAAUACUAAUUUAUUUAUUAAUCCAAUCUAAUUGUAACUAAAGAUGAGAAAAAUCAUGAGACCUAAUUUGAAAAUCUGUAAACUGAACACUUUUGUUGGAUAAUUGUCAUAGUAGACGUAUGGAAGUCAAGCAAGCAGGAAGGCAGUAAACUGUUACAGGUCUACGACAACACAACGAGUUACCAACCCUGCCUUGCCCGCAUCCGACGAAGCCAAAUUUUCCUGGAGUUCCCGCAAUUUGUCAUCGGAGCGAGCGGCCAAAACAAGCACCGACCUCGGUUUAAGUAACAGAGAAAUCUCUUUCGCUAUGGUUCGGCCAAAUCCUUUGGACGCCCCGGUGAUGAUGCACAGCGCUCUCCCUAGGUCCUUCGCGUCUGGUAUAAUUACGUUGCAGAUACCAUUGGCCUGCAUUUUGGUGAAAUGGGAGCGGAGAUGUACAGCUUCUACUUAUAAAGGCUGGCAGAGUUUUGUAAAGAACCGUUUUAAAAUAAUUGUUCAAAUCGAUUAGAUUGAGGAACGGAUAUGGAUGCCAAAAAUAAACAUGACGAAUGAGCACUCCUUUUAUCCCGCCCACUUUAUGAUGUUCAAGCAAAUUCGCGAUUUAGUUUGUAAAAUGAAUAAGCAAAUGUUUUAUUAUAUGCCUAGAUGUGGGCUGUGCUGGCCAAAAUGUGUUCUUAUCAAUGAUGUAUCUUAUUGUAGCGAUAUCCGCGUUUAUAAACUGGGGUCGCUACAUAAUUUAAGCAAAUUAAAAAUGAAAAUAUAAGAUAAGACAACCGAGGUAAAGCCAGUUUCAAGCUGGAUAUUCGCGCUUUCAAACCUCAGUAGCCACUUGAGCCAUAGACUCCAAAUAAGUGUCAUAAUGUUGGAAAAAUUGCCCAUAACAUUGCACAGGUCUUAUUUUCACGAUUUGGACAUUAAUUCGCUUUUCAAAGCUAAUAAACAUGUGGAAAUGUGAUCAGCAUUUUGUAGUCCUAGUUGAAUUCGUUAGGGAGCGUAAACAAAGUACAAACUUUUUUUACAUUCAAAUUUCAAUAGUUCCUUGGUCAUGUGACCUAGUGACUUCAAACAAGGUUCAGAAUGUCCACUGACUACCCUUCUAUAUUGCACACCCUUUCGUUUGUUCAUUUUUAUCUCACAUGGUUUCACACACAUUUUUCAAAAUGUAGAAUUUCAAUAGCUCCUUGGUCAUGUGACCUAAUGUCCGCUGACUACCCUUCUAUAUUGCACACUCUUGUUUGUGUACUGUAAAAUCACACGGUGUACAUUUUUCAUAGUUUCACAUUUGCAAUAGCUCCUUGGUCAUGUCAAUUACGCUCCUAAGAAGCAUGCAGUGGAAAUACACCCAUAUUGCAUAACCUCUAGUCAUGUAUCUUCUAUAUUGUUGUACAUUAAUAUUAGAGUGACAAUUACAGGGUUCAGUCCAGUGUUGUGUUUACCCUUUUCUUUAAUAUUUAUCUAUAAUAAUUGGUAGUUCUAAGUACUUAUUUUCCCUGUUUUUUAUUUUUCCACAGUAUUUAACAGUGGUACACAAUAGGAGAGAGACAAAUAAUAUCUCCUUUCGUUGUUAAUAUCAACCAUAAAGGAAAAAGUAUGAGAGUCAUGCUAUUAAUUGUCCAAAGCAGGGAUGGAGAGUGAACUGGUGAGGUAGGCUGCAGUGGGUUUGCUGGUCAAUACAUAUACUGAACAUGUAACCACAGUAAUGGUGGCCAGUAAAUCAAUGAAUAAAAAUGUAAUAUUGACAAAUUAAACUGAAAUUGUAGACCUUUAAUCUUUUAAAACAUGUCAGACACUUAACUUCAAAUAAGUGUAUAACAUUUCCGUGUUAACUUUCUCUUUAUCCCUGGUUGAUGUACAUGUCAGAGCCUCUUCAGUGUGGAUGGGGUAUAGCAUACAAUUUCAACAACAAAGACUGCACUUCUAGUUUGUGUUCUUUACUCUUUUGAACUCUUUUGUCUUCAUUCCUAGGCACAGCACAUGGAACCACCGUUGGCAUGCAAAACAUUCAAUCUAAAACAAACCAAACAUAACACGUUAUAAAUAAUAUCAAGUAUCAAUGCUGUAUGACGAAUUAGCCAUCUAUUAUGUUAUGUCAUAAAUUGUCUUACAUGCCGUCACUGUUGUCAAAAGAUUAUAAACAUGUUAAAUAAAGUUACUAACCCAGUCA